UUAAUUGAAGCCAAUUUUCGGGCACUUUAUUGUUAAUAAAGAUAUAGAACAUUAAAGUUCCAAUUAAA
rnacentral:tRNA from 1 species